CUGCAUGUAUGUCUUUGUGAGGGUAUUGGACCCUCACAAUUGUGAACUGCCAUGUGGAUAUCAGGAAUUGAACCCCGAUCUUCUGGAAGGGCAGUCAGUACUCUUAAUGACUGAGCCAUCUCUCCAACCCCAUAUAUAUGCUCUUUUUUACAAAAUAUUUUGUUAUUUGUGUGCGUGCUUGAGGAGGACAGAGGCAUACCCUGGAGCUGGAGUUACAGGCAGUACCUGUUCUUAACCACUGAGCCAUCUCUCCAGCCCUUUAUAUGUGUUCUCAAAUCCUAACAAUGAUAUACUUUUAGCACCAAUGCCCAGGGUGGACUUUACACAUUACCUUAACCUAGGGAGGAGCCUCCUAGCAGCUUGGGAUCUAAUAUAUCCUGGAAACUGCUGACCAGAACUGAAUGGCUGGAUUUGUCCCCUGGGAGGCCAUCAAGUCCUCAGCUCUUGGAUCAAUGGACCUUUUCAGGCCCCAAUAGGCCUUGUGUGCCACUCUCCCCUCUGGAAUCUAGAUAACUGUUUUCCCGUUAGAUCCUAGAACACCUCUUGGCUAGUUUUAAUCACUGACCUGCCACAUCCUAGCAUAAUUAUAUGUUUCUGUCCAUUUCUAGCCAGCAAAUGAAGUCAAGAACCUGGUCCUCCUGAAGACACCUUCACGCUCAACAUUCUGGCCAAUCAGGGCAUUUCUAGUCAAGUGAGUUUUUCCACCUCUCGGUUUCCACCACAUGUUGGGCCAAAAGCGCCCAGCAUCUCUUCACUAGGACCAUUGUUACUUCCUGAAGUUCCACUGUCACACUUUCUCCAAUACCGUUUCCAGGCGACAGCGCUGAUAAUUGGGGAGUGUCCCCCUACAUCUGCCUGCCUCUGAUGGGAUUAAAGGAGUGCACUCA